rnacentral:rRNA from 5 species
CGGCGGCCAUGGCCCAGGUGAGACGCCCGGUCCCAUUCCGAACCCGGAAGCUAAGGCCUGGCACGGCGAUGGUACUGCACCCGACAGGGUGUGGGAGAGUAGCACGCCGCCGCAUC